rnacentral:lncRNA from 1 species
GAUCCACAUGUGCCUUGGGAAGUGUGGUCUGGAAAAGGUUCUUAUAUUGUGUUUGCUUGGCAGCAGCCACUUGAGGUACAGGACAGUGUUGUCUCCAGACCCAAGGGCAUGCUCUGCAGCACCAGCAGUUCUCACAUGGAGUUUCUACAGUUCUGCUUGCUGUGACCUUCUGGGCCAUCAGGGAAACACAACGGGGUCCUGCCAGCCUCGUGCGAUGAACCAUCACUUGCCAGGAUUCACACCAGGCUUCCUGGGAUGCUGUGUUGCUGCUUGGAAUCCUGAUUGCUUCUGCUUGCUCACUGUGCUGCUGGCAGGAUGGGAUUGAUGUCCAGUUUGGCACAUUGGGCAGAGCCAAGCCCAUAACCAUCCUCUGUGCCCUUGGCAGACUGGGGAACCAAGCUAGACCCCUCUCUCUAGAGGGGUUCCAGGUGAGCAAGGGACAGGCUUGGUGCUGUCCAUAUUUAUUCUGGUGGGAAAAGCCACCUCCUUCACCCUUUCCACCUGGGAACUGUGUAACUGCUGGGGAUGACACCACAUGGAUGCAGGGCCAACGGCCUGGCAUCAAGGCACUAGCUGAGCCUGAGCACUAUCGCAGGGCACAGAGCUGCCUUAGGGGGUGCCAGCAUCCCCAGCACGGCUGCACUCCAGGCAUGUAGGUUCUGGGCACAGGAGAGGUCCUGUCAGCAAUGGGCCGUCUGGAUGACCAUGCCAAGAGGAGGAUUGUGGAGCUGCGCAGGGCUGGGCUGAGCUUCCGCAAGAUCAAGAAGGUGCUGGAGCUGGAUGACAUCCGGGUGACGCCGCAGGCCGUGUACCUCUUCCUCAAGAGGAAGAGCGUGGAACCAGGCCAGGACACCAAGGAAGGCAUCCAGAUUGUCGGUGUGGCCUCGCUCUGCAAGGACGGUGGGCAGCUUGGGGACACUCUGCCUCUGGGGCUGGCCCCUGGGAAUGGUGAUGACAGUUCCACAGGCAAAGCCCUGACUCCAGGGACUGCUCUGGGGGGCCCGGCCCCCCUGCCCCAGAUACUGCCAGGCCGAGUGCAGCUGGUCACACCCCCGACCCAGAACUCAGCCCUGAUGGUGAAAAAGAAGACUCUGGACAGGGCUAUCCUGCAGAAAAAGGUCAAAGAUGCCAGCACUCAGACUGGCUUGCCAAACCCUGUGGGUCCAGGACAUCACAACCUUGCUUGGGGUGGAACUGUGCCCCCCACUGCUCCCAGCUUCCCCAGCAUCACUGAGAAGCUGGAUGCUGUACAGAGGGAGGUGCAGAAGCUGAGCCAGGCCCUGCAUACAGUAUUGGAGCGGCAGUGCCACCUGGAACGCCAGCAGGAGCACCAACAGCGGCUGCAGCAGGAGGUGCUGAUGACACUGCAGCAGCUCAGCUCCACUGUGAGCCAUGGCUCUGUGCCAGCCACCCAGCCCUGUGGCCCCUUCAGCAGUGUGGCCGAGCCCUUGCCCACCAUGCCAAACUUCAGCCAGUUCAAGAUGGAGCUGAUCUGA